UGCUUAUGUGUGGGAGGUGUACGGAUCUCUUCUUCAGGUCCUAAGGGAAUUCUUUCAGUGAUCUCCUCUGGUUUUUUCCUCUUUCAGGGGUAUCUGGAGAAACCCUGUGUUUCCAGAUAAGGACGUGCUGGAUUUACAGUUGUCUACCACUGUUAAUGCAUCCUCGUCUGCGUGGUCGUGUGAAGGUAGGAUCCGCAGCAACCACAUCACCUGCUGUUCUCCUUUCCAUCCUCCACUCUUGGUUUCCAUGCUGCUCCAGGAUGUUCUUCCCACCCUGCGUUUUUGCAGUCAUUUAACUAAGCCUUUUUCAUCCAGAGGGGGAAAAUGGAGGCAGCUCUGCAGUUUACCAGGCAUCCCGCUGGGGAGCAGAGCCUUACGAGAGCAGCAUGGCAGUGGCUCUGGAUGGCAGCGGGUUUGGGGUUGGGAUUGGAGAACAGCAUCUCCUGGCCACCCUUCCUGCAAGGGGAAUGCAGAGCUGCUCACGUCCAGCAGGACGCGAGAAAAGGACAAGCUGUGUGCACAACGUGGUGAAGAUCAGUGGGUGGUUUUACCCAAAGAGGGCAGUGCCGUGCCACGAUCCUCCCCACUUCGUCUCUGUAAGGCGUGGAGGGCUCUGCAGAGCCGGGUGGAAACAGCCAACAUCGAGGAUUUCUUGAGGGGAAGAUCACGGCGUGAUGAGGCAGUUGUUUUUCGGAGGUGUAGCAAUUACUUCAAAGCAAAACAAAACCAAAGCAGAAAGAAUGACAGCAGAAAACCUUGCAAGUAUCUGUCACGCGAAUGCCUCUUCUGUCUCCUGACAAACUGCUUUUCUCACCAGCUUAGCCAAAGGUACACAGCCGUAGCACUGCCUGACUUAAAGCACUGCUCCUGCCUGUAUUCCUGCCCUCACUCACUGCAAGGACAGCUGUGAGCUCUCCUCCCUUCUGGACGGCAUCCCCCUUAGCUCCCCCGGGGCUGUUGGUCCCCAUUUCUGUCUCUAGCAUCCUUCCCAUCUCCCCACCCCAGGACUGCUUCUGCAGGGAGAUGCUGCUGUUGGAAAUUAGCCUUACCGUGGGACAAAGUGGGGGCUGGGUGGCUAUUUACCAGUUGGCGUGCUGCUGUCAGAAGUGGGGACUGGGCCCCUUCCUCUAUAGGCAGGAGAAGGGGUCCCACAGGCACUGCUGGGCGCUGUGAGUUGCAUGCUUGCCCUUUUGGGGUAUGUGGGACCAGGGAGGCUUUGCUGUCUGUGGGAGGAAAGACUUCAAAAUGAGCCAACGUUGCCAUUGCCAGAGAAACAGCUCUUGCCAUGCUGGGCAAUUGGCUGAAAGAGGUGAAUAGGGCUUUCCUGUAGGGGUUCAAAGCUCUAGCUCUGGUUAGAUAUAUUCACGUGGGCUCUUUCCCUUUCGAAGAAGGCAGAUGAAAAGGGCUCUGACUCCUUUAAAUAGGUCUGCGCUUCCUCCACCAGCCAGGAGCUCUGUUAGGACUGCACUGCUCCUUUCCACCCAGCAAGGACAGCUGCCAGCUUAACUCUUAGCCCUCACGUUAGCAGCAGAGGGGCUGAAAUGAAGAGUGUUUUCCCUCGGCAGCAGUCAAGAGGAAGAUGUUUGCUGCUGCUUGCUGCUUUGUAUUUAUUCUGCUAGCUGAAGCAUAGAAGCACGCGUGGGUACGAGGUACAGCUGGUGCUUGGAAGGCUCUGGGUUGCUGGAGGGGCACGGAGGGUCCUGGGAGCAUCGCCUCUGAGCAGGCUCCAGCUGGCUCUGUGCAUGGUGCCUGCGUGUCGGUGCUUACCCCACACCUCCUGCUGCCUUCCGUGGCUUUCGGGCACUGAUGUGAGCAAGUGCUGCUGCCAGCUCGGAGCUGCUGCUCUGGCUUAACGUGGGAAGGCAGGAGCAUCUGUCCCCCACUGCUUUCCUAUUAGCGGGCUGCUAUAAGGCAAAAAGCCAUCUGCCUGCAGAGGUUGGGGUUGGUGGUAUUUGCUAACCCAGGAAAAUGCUGCUCCAGGAAGGCAGUCAGGCAUGAAGGAUGAGAGAUCCUCUUCCUCGGAGUUCACUGAAAUAGGACUUUCCUGCAGGUUGCUUUCCCGUUGACCAGAGGGAGACCCAUGGCUCAUCCGUGCACCCUUCUUAGAGCUGCUGAAGAGACUCAGAAUGGGGUGAUGGCCCCAUGCUCCUUCCUGGGGUCUCCUCUUCCUCAAGAGCCAGCGCAGGCCAGCUAAUGUCCAGGUGCAAAGGGUGCACCGCCCUCUGCCAUGCCAUCUACCUGGUGAUAUCAAGGCCAAGAGCGUCACGUUCUGGAUGUUCAUAAAUUAUAAGGGAAACAGCUUUCUUCCUUCACCCCUUGAACUUUUAUUCAUUCCUCCAUUGUGUUAAUGAAUACGUGGUCUAAGCUGUAUGUCAGUCCCUGUUCUUGCUUGCUGUAGAUGAGGCUGGCUUGUCAGCGCUUGGCCUCCUUUUGCCAUCAGCUCGAGCGGAGCUGUUACACGUUAGUUCUCCAGCAGCAUUUUGAUUACCUCUCAUAACACAACGCUGUCAAUGCAGACUGACCAAUACAGCAAUUCAAUGAGCGUGUUGCUCUUGACAAGCCUUAUUUGCCCUGGAUAAGUCAGGUGGAAUAUCUUCAGCUGCAGGUAAUAGGCAGUAACAUCCUCUCUGUGUGUUAGCUGAAGGUUUCCUGGUCUCUGUUUCACCCGAAGGGGCUUCCUUGUCUCCACUGCAGCAGGAUGCAGAGCCUGAACUAACUCUGAGCAAGGAACUGUGGAGUCCAGAAACAGCAGCUCUGCUUUAAGUGAGGCUCUUGCCCUGGGUAAUCAUCCCAUCCUGAGAAGCACAACGUACUAUCUCAGGCUUCUUCCUAAGGUGUGUUGACCAACGUGCAUUUGAUGUCUUGGAGCUGCCCUGGCAGUGUGUGGGCCAUCAUCCUCAGUGGGGAACCAGAGACAGCAAUCACUGCUAAGUGCCAGAUGAUAGCGUGUUUUGUCGGCUGCUUUGAUGCAUUAUGUUUUCCACCAUCUGUAUUUGCACUGCGUUGGAGGCUUGCUUGCCCUGCAAGGGCUGGGCUGCGAUCCCUCCAGCACUGUGAGCAUCCAGGUGUGGUGUUUAGAGGGUGGAGAGGAGACGUCAAGCUUUCUUGCUUUGCUAUGCCCAUGCCUUGUCUCCCCACACUUGCUCACUUCUCCAAAUACUGCUGCUCUCAAUGAACUCUUAGCAGCUGUCAGUCCCCGUUCCUGAAGCGAUGUGCAGUUCUGAGCUCCCUACAGGUUGGGAUGGUCCUUGUGCUGGCUGCUCCCUGCUCCAAUCCUUGGCCUGUUGUGCUUUUUUAGCCUGCAAAGCCUCCUUCCCAAAUGCUUCUGAAGAAGCCAAAGCGGGAUCUGCUCUGGCAGAAAGAAGCCUGCAGACCUGGAUCCUCUCCCCUCAGCCACUGCAGCCCUGGAUGGUGUUUGUUGGCAGGCAUCGCUCCCAGUGCUCCUGCUCACCUCGUGCUCUCCCAGGAGAAACAAGCUUCACAUGAUGGCUUUGGAAAUAAGUCAGGGCAUGUGUCUUGGGCAGAACGAAAGGAGCUGGAAACCUGAGCUUUGUUUGCAUGCACGUUGUUCCUGGCUUUGGCAGGGAUGAGCCCUGACUCCGUGCAGCUGCCGUGACUGGUUUACUGGGCACAGCAUGAGGUCCCUCCUCCUUGAAGGACAUUCACUGUAUUUUGAAGCCACGACCGCCGGCAGAGCGACGGAUCCAAGACGGGAUCCAGACUGCUUUCUCUCUCAAUCCAGCACGCUGCCUCCCGCACUGCUUUCCCCUGGAGCAUCCUUGAGCCUGGCCAGAAGAAGUCAGAGCUCCUUUCCUCUCUGCUGCAGCCACCUGCCCUGACAAGUGGCCUGUCCUCGGGGAAGCGGCAUCGUUUCCUAUCAUUAGUGAUGCGGGGCACGGGAAGCUGUGUCCACUCAGCUUUGUCUCUUGCUGGGUGCACACUGGCCGAGGCCGGUGGCAGCUCAUGCGUCCCCUGGAGCUGCCUUGAAACCCAGUGAUGGGUAAAGAAACCCCAUCCAGCUGCUCUUCUCUGUGCCUGCGAGUGCCUCAGCACGGUGAAUAGCAACGGAAGAGCUCAGGAGAAACAAGCAUGAGUGGUAGAAAUAAGCAGCAUCAAGAGAUCCAGCAAGCGAAGGAUGAAAAAUCAGAGUAACGGCCAAGGAGACGACAUCCACUUGACUUCUCUUGCCCGUGGUGUGAGCAAUUAAUCCAGCUAAGGCAUGGCAGUGGAGUGAGGCCAGGAACAGCAGGAGGACGGCGCUGCACCGGCAGCAGCAAGCGGGACCGGACAUCUUCCUCUGCCACGCUGCCCCGACCUUUGUGGUGAGGUUGUGCAUGGAGAAAUGUGCUGAACCACCCCGUUGCCAUGGAAACCAAGGCCGAGAGGGGACCAGCCUGCUCCUGCUAAUUGCUGUGGCUUUGUGACCCCAUCCGUCCAUCCUGCUGCCUCCCGUGAGCCUGUCCGAAUGCACAGCGCUGGCCCCAUCCUGCAUCAUCCUGCCCUUUGGCUCCCAGCCCCAAUGCUGUGAGCAGGAUCUGGGGUUCCUCUUUCUCUCCUUUGUGUUGUCACAACCUGCACAAGAUCAGUUAAAAUCCGUGGCUUGAGCAUCCCUGCAGCCCAUCACCCCGUGCGUGCACAUCUGCCUGCAUGCUUGUUGCAGGAGCACGGUGGCGGUGCAGUGAUGCACCUCCCUUGCCCUGCAUCCCGGGCUGCCCUGCCUUUAUCUCGUCCAAUUAAAUAACUGCAGAUAGUGGGCUUAAUAAGGCCCUGCUAUGAAAGAUUACUGACGAUUUCUUUCCCAACGUGCGGUGAAUUAGGAGGCAGUGAGCAGGGAAAGGACUGCUGCUAAUUACAGUCCCCCAUGUCCCCUCUGCUGCCACCACUGCUGCUGGGCCCCUCGCUGCUCCCUGCACCUGAUUGCAUUUUGCUGCUGGUUGUGGCCAAUUUGCAGCUCUCAGCUGCUGCUGCUUCUCCCUUCCCCCCACGCCCCCUGCUCCUCUUCGAGUUUAUUAAUGAAAACCUUAUCUGUCGGUGCAGAUAAUGCCAGAAAUAAUUAGUGCACACGGAGGGCUGGCAGGCUGCUCUCUGCUCCCACCACCCACACCCUCUCCUCUCACUGUUUACAGUUUCCUGUGCUGCUUGGGGCUGCUUUUUGGGUUUUUAAGCCUCCUUGCUCUGUACAGAUUUAUUUGCUUCUCUUUCUCUCCAAGUUUUCCUUGCUCAGAAAGAGACAGACAGACCUGAGGCACAGAUGCAUCCUAAAGAGCUUGACCUUAAACACCUGGGCUGCAGGUGCCCUGACCUUAUGGCUGCUGGAAAUGGGGAGCUGCCCCCCAAUGCCCAAGAGCAGGGAUUGCAUUUGCUCCUGGCAUGCUCUGGUCAGGUCAUGGCCCUGCUCCUGCUGCGCCAGCGCCGUCCUCGCUUUGCUCGUGCUCCCUUUCAUUACACUUAGCAUCAUUGUCUCUUGGCUUAAAUCUUUCAGCCUGAUAAAGGACGACAGCGCUGCUCGAGUGCCUGGGAUGGCAUAAAUAAUUCCAGUGCUGAGAGAGAUUUACAGCUAUAUAAAUGUCAGGAGUGAGCCCAGUUUGUAUUAAUGGCCUUAUUAGUUACAUUGCUGUAAAAUACAGAUCCUCCAAUUGUUAAGCGGCCGUGGUUUUGGUCCACAGCAUUAAUCCAAUAAAUUUGGGCUUCUCAAUACGAAUCUUCGUCUCUGAACCCCACUGGAAAAUCCUUCAUGGUAUGUCAGAGAGCUUUAAAUGGCUGUGGCUGAGACAGAGGUGGGAAUAACAGAGCUGGUGGGAGCGCAGGUGUAAGGCAGUGCAGCAGCCCAUCCCCACCCAAGGGCAUGGGAAGUGUGGAGGUCCCUUGGCCGUGAGGAGCUGUGGGGUGGGAUUGGUGCUUUUGUCACCAGCUUGGAAACCACAGCCCAACCCAAGAGCUCCCAUGGCUCUGAGAUGUCCGUCCGUCCUUCCCACCCUGCUGCCAUCCCUCCCUGUUCCCUGGUGCAUCUCGUAUGAGGACGUUCUGCAACUCUGCAAACUUUCCACCAGCGACCUGCCAAGUGCAUGGGGAGGGAGAGGGGAAAGCACCACGAUAAUUGAAAAUAAAUGGUGCAUUAUAUGAAAUAAAUGUUCUGGUGC
ensembl:lncRNA